UCGCCUGAAAAUCCACAAAACCCAUUUUAGCCCAAAUCGUUUACUUUCAAACCGAAAACUUGAACGUGCCGCACUGUUCUUCCAAACAUUGCAACACCGCCUAAAGGUCACAACGUUUGGUCGGUACUGCCUUCAUUGACCACUAGAAUACCACUAGAGCCCCACUGGCCAAGGGGGCGAUUCACGAAAGAGCGCAGGACAGGCAAGGUAGUGGUUUCCAAGUGCAAUUCAAACAAAAGCGCCUUCAAGCUGUUUUCACUGGAUGGUUUAUUACAAAAAAAAAUCUUCUUCCGAUCAUAUUUUACAAUAAAUUACACAAAAAUUGUACAGCCAUUCUUACUA